AUGAACGCUGGCGGCGUGCCUUAUACAUGCAAGUUGAGCGGUAACAGUUCCUCACUUUUCUUUUGAAUCUUAAGUAUUCGAAGGCGAAGUGAGGAAGCUGACGAGCGGCGAACGGGUGAGUAAUACGUAGGAACCUGCCUCAAAGUGAGGGAUAACCUAUCGAAAGGUAGGCUAAUACCGCAUAUGGUCUUUAGAUUAAAGCCUUCGGGCGCUUUGAGAAGGGCCUGCGCAAGAUUAGUUUGUUGGUGAGGUAAUGGCUCACCAAGACGAUGAUCUUUAGCUGGUUUGAGAGGAUGAUCAGCCACACUGGAACUGAGAUACGGUCCAGACUCCUACGGGAGGCAGCAGUAGGGAAUAUUCCACAAUGGGCGAAAGCCUGAUGGAGCAACGCCGCGUGCAGGAUUAAGGCCUUCGGGUUGUAAACUGCUUUUAUAUGUGAAGAAUAUGACGGUAGCAUAUGAAUAAGCCUCGGCUAACUCCGUG
rnacentral:rRNA from 1 species